rnacentral:tRNA from 1 species
GGCACUAUGGCCGAGUGGUUAAGGCGAGAGACUCGAAUUGUAUUAUUGUAAUAACGUUUGUUUCGGUUAUCUCUUGGGCUCUGCCCGCGCUGGUUCAAAUCCUGCUGGUGUCG